AGCAGCCGCGGUAAUUCCAGCUCCAAUAGCGUAUAUUAAAGUUGUUGCAGUUAAAAAGCUCGUAGUUGAAUUUCGGGGUUAGUAGGUUGGUCAUGCCUCUGGUAUGUACUGGUCUCACUGAUUCCUCCUUCCUGAUGAACCUUAAUGCCAUUAAUUUGGUGUUUUGGGGAAUUUGGACUGUUACUUUGAAAAAAUUAGAGUGUUUAAAGCAAGCUAACGCUUGAAUACAUUAGCAUGGAAUAAUGAAAUAGGACGUUCGAUCCUAUUUUGUUGGUUUCUAGGAUUGACGUAAUGAUUAAUAGGGAUAGUUGGGGGCAUUAGUAUUCAAUUGUCAGAGGUGAAAUUCUUGGAUUUAUUGAAGACUAACUACUGCGAAAGCAUUUGCCAAGGAUGUUUUCAUUAAUCAAGGACGAAAGUUAGGGGAUCGAAGACGAUCAGAUACCGUCGUAGUCUUAACCAUAAACUAUGCCGACUAGGGAUCGGAUGAUGUUAAUUUUUUAAUGACUCA
rnacentral:rRNA from 1 species